CGAGCAGGUGGGUCGGCAAGUCCUGUGUGCAAUCUUUCGGCUCAACCGAAAAACUGCAUGGGAAACUACCGAUCUUGAGUGCGAGAGAGGAUGGCGGAAUUCCUGGUGUAGCGGUGAAAUGCGUAGAUAUCAGGAGGAACACCGGUGGCGAAGGCGGCCAUCUGGCUCGACACUGACACUCAUCGCGAAGUCGGGGAGCAAACA
rnacentral:rRNA from 1 species